CCGCUGCUGCCGCCGCCGCCGCCGCCGGCGGGGUCCCGCCUGCCGGCUGAGAGGGGAAGACAGGAGAGACCCGGCGGCUGCGCCCAGCCCGCGGAGCCCACCGGCCGUCCCCUCUAGGCGUUGCCAGCAUCCAGAAAUCAGGGCACAAAAGAAACCCCAGCCCAUAGGUGCACGUUGCGGUCCAAUUUAACCCAGUGGCAGAGGAGUUAAAAUGCCAGUGAGGCUGCUCGCUUUCCGCGGGGACAGGGCUGGAGCGGAGGGAAGGAGAAGAAGCAGGGCCGAGGUUUCGUCGUGUCCGCAGCUCAGCCAAGCUGUUGUUUUAAAAGAGCAAUAAAAAUGAAUUAUGACUAAACGCCUUCUCACUUAAUGGUUUUAGACGGGGAUCCCCAGCCCCGGCAAAUACGUAAGAGGAUUUUUAUUUGUGCAUGUGUUCCUGCAAUUGAUCUCUUUGAUGACAUUCUCAUUCAUAGAAAGAGUUUGAUUUAUGACUUUCGGAAGAAUUGCGUUCAGCCCUUCCAGCUAUAACCCGCGCAUCCCAGCUCCACAACGUGUUGCAGGGCUGGGAGACAACACUCCUCGCAUGGACGGGCGGUAGCAGAGCCCCGUCCACAAACCCCCGCUCAAGACCUACUCGCCUGUGUACUGUAACCACACGCACUCACGCGCGUUCACACGCAUUCACAUGCACUCACACGCACAGAGGGAGCCGCGAUCGCACCCGCCCGGGAUCCCCUGGCCCGGAGCGGCAGAGCCCCGCUGGCAUCUGUUGCUCGGUUUUAGCCCGAAGGACGGGGCUCACCCUCCUUCUCUUUGGCGCCCGGCAACGCCGCUAGCCGGGUGGCAGGCAAUUUGGUGGAGAUUUCCGAAAGCCCAUCUUUACUGCCGCCAGCAGAGAGUGGGGAGCCCCGAGGAAAUUGUAACUUGAAAGUCAGAGUUUCCCCUUUUCGUUAUCAGUCCUUCGCCCCGCAAGAAUGUUUAAACAGAAAAAUAUCUUCGGCUGUGCUCCCUGCACCGCCCCUCAAAAGGACCGAGCGGAGGGGCUGAUUCCUCUCUGAAUGCUUUUUUGUCCCCCUGCGUUUCUGCCACCCUUUUGAUUUUACACGCACUAACUUCUCCAUUUCCUCUCCUUCUAGGGCUGAUUUCUUGGACGGCUCAGCACAUGAGAAGUAACCAAGCGCAUUCUCUGUGGGCUCUCAUAUUUUUUAAGAUACGUUUCCUGAAACAGCUUGCUGGGUGCUAAGCACUACUUUCUAGAAAAACAGGAUUAUUUCCCAAAAAACGCCUUUCGUGUACGUAACAGGCUAGUUUCUGCAGGAGACACUUAUCCUACUGAGCCUCUCUUACAUUUUGCCUGUAGCAGAGAAAGUGCUCGUUCACGCUUUUGUUACAGCUCAGCAUUUCCAAGCUUUGUAUCCUCACAGAGAUAAGAUGCUACAUUUAUACAUUCAAAGGAAGAGGUCUCCAUCAAAGCUGUGAAUGGUUUUAGUUUCUUUGGUUUGUUUUUUUUUUUUUUUUAACUUGUGAGAACCCUUGCAAUAAAGAAUUUGAACGUG